rnacentral:ncRNA from 1 species
CAAAAGUGUCUUAACUUUCAGUUUUUUUUUUUAGUUGUCUUAGACGCACAGUUUUUUAUGAACAAAAUCGUUUUUAGAUAAUGGUUUAUGCCUGAAUUGCAAUAAGUUUACUUAUUUCAUAUUUUAGAAAUUUAAGAAAUAGCAAAUUAAAAAAGUACAGACAAAGUUUGUGCCAGCGGUUGCGGUUAUACAAACUGUGCAAAUAAAAUUUUUUGGAUUUUGGUUAUUUGUUUAAUUUUUUUUUAAAAAUAAAGUUUAUUAAGUGAAAUUUUAAAUUUUAAGAAGUUUAUUUUUUAAUGAGGAGGCCAAGAAAUUUUAUUUUAAAACUAGGAUUAGAUACCCUAUUAUAAAAGUGUAAGUUUUUAAUCUUUAUUAGUAUUAGUUAAUAUCUUGAAAAUAAAAAGAGUUGGCGGUAUUUUAGUCUAUUCAGAGGAACCUGUCCUAUAAAUGAUAAUCCACGAUUAGUAUUACUUAUUGUUUAAGUUUAUAUAUCGCCGUGGUUGAGUAUUCUUAAAGGAUUCAAUGUUCGUGAUUUAAAUAUAAAGUAUAUCAGGUCAAGAUGUAGCUUAUAAAUUAGUGGAGAUGGGUUACGGUUUGAUUUUUGGAUUUUGUUAUUUAAUAAUAAAUGAGAAUGGAUUUGGAAGUAAUUUUUUAUAUAUUUAAAAUUUGAUUUAGGCUCUAAAAUAUGUACAUAUCGCCCGUCGCUUUCACUAUAAAGUGGAAUAAGUCGUAACAAAGUAGGUGUACUGGAAAGUGUACCUAGAAACCA